rnacentral:lncRNA from 1 species
CUAUCCUAAACAUAAAAGAUCACAUUUCUGUUCAAAUUGAGGGUUCUGAUAUUUCUGGGUUCUAAUCUCAAUCAGGCCCAGUUAAAGGCCCAAGAGGAGGAACGUCAGAAAAGGGAGGCAGAAGAAAAGGAGGCACAGCUUGAAAGAAAACGAGAAGAGAAGAGACUGAAGAAAAUGAAAGAACUUGAGAAGCAGAAGAGAAUUAAGAGGAACCAGCAGCUGGAAGCAAUAGCCAAAGAACAUUAUGAAAGGGUCUUGCUAAGGAAAAAAGGUCUAGAGCCUUGGAAGAGAUUGAGAAUGCAAAGCAAACAAAACAUCCAGGUGGCAGAAGAACAUUACUCUUUGUUCCUGCAGAGGAAAUACAUGCUGACGUGGUUCCAGCGUAGUCAGGAAAGUCUGGCUAGAAAGAUGGCCCAGGCUGAUCAAUUUUAUUCCCAAAUACUGCUUAAGAGAGUCAUCCAGAGCUGGCUACAGGUAAGGACAUAGGGAAGGGUACCUUAAAUACAUCUCAUUGCUCAAUUCUAUUUAAGAAAACUAAAUGAAAUCCAGAAUGUCCAGGGUCAUUAUGUUUUUUCAAGAACAAAAGAGUAGUCAAUCCCAUUCACUGCUUUGAAAUAAAUGUGAAAAUGGUAAAUCAGUGUUUUAUUAGUGUAAAAUCCUAAGCCUGUGUUUGUUUCACGGAGUGUGUAUAAACUGUAAGUUAUCAUUCCAUCAGCUUUUGUUUUUAUAGUCAUUUCUUGUUUCUUGUCUCACAGUGCUCAAGUGAUUUAGAAACUUACCCCUUCAAUCUUAUAACUGUUUCUAUUCAUGUGUUCUCUUACCAUUUUUAGGAUACAU